CAUAGGGAUGAGGUCCUUUAUGCUUUUAGUGUAGUUUGGCCUUCAUUGAAAUUCGGCUCCCGUAGGAGUCCAGACGGGGUCUACCUGCAGUUGAAGUCGGAGGCGAAGUCCAGCUCCCGUAGGAGUCCGGAUGGAGUCUAAUUGCAGUUGAAGUCCGUCGCUGUUCCUUCACAUUUCCCUCCUCUUUUUCUCCUUUUUCUCUCUUUUUUCCCUAGGCAAGGGUUCUCCCUAGCUUUUACGGAGUCGCAGUAGCGUAGAAGGAUCG
rnacentral:lncRNA from 1 species